GGGGAUUUGGCUCAGUGGUAGAGCGCUUGCCUAGCAAGCACAAGGCUCUGGGUUCGGUCCCCAGCUCCG
rnacentral:tRNA from 1 species